UCUCGGCAUCGCUGGCGUCCGCGCCGUGAACCCCGCCAGGACCGAGAGGUAGCAACGGUAGGGCAGUGGACGUGCAGCGGUGCUUUUUUCA
rnacentral:SRP_RNA from 1 species